rnacentral:lncRNA from 1 species
GGAAGUGCUCUUCUGUCCCCGAGUUCUGGAGUGUUCUUGUUUCACGAAAGGGUGUUCAGUUCCCAGAACCACUGGCGGAGGACAUCCCGUGGCCAUGGGAACCAGUGGCACACAGACGCGCGGACCCUCACCUUACCUGCGUUUCUCGUCCUUGCGUUUCUCCGCCCCCCGCAAGAGAUCCUCCGGCCCUCUGGACGUCUACACGCACCGGGAGGGAUUAAGGAGUUAACAUUCGCCCGACGACCUCGACUCACGGGGUCAGAAGCUGCUGGAUUGAAUGCUCUCCGUGCCUUUGUCGUCUGUCUUGGGUGGAAACAUCUGAGGCACGUCCUACGGGGUUCCUCACCGGUGCCCACGUGGGACUGAGCCCGGGUCCCUAGUAGCACCCAGAUCAAUACCGUACCUUUGAGUCGGUUUCCUCUGGUCCCCAUUUCACCCAUCGGUCUCUGCUCCAGCUCCCUGAUCGCCUCCCCAAAUCACCUUGGUCUUGGGCUCCGACUUGGGGGAACCGAGGUAGCACAGUGAGUACUGUUUGUCUAUCUGAGACAACCUUCCUCAGCAUCCAAUAUCUCUCCACACCUCCCGGCUCUAAUUAACUCACUAAGCGAGCACGACUG